CUGGGGACGACACCUACCCGGAUCGAACGUACGUAGUUAACAGCACGGUUAUUUACUGUCAGACAUAAAGGUUAUUUUGUUGGUCGAUGAAAGCCUGAUUGUUUCGGUUCGCGUGCACUAGCUAAAUGAAAAUUUCACGAGGAUGUCUGGAAAACGGGAGCUGGCACUUAUCUACGUCACGUCCAUCUUCCAUUAAUUCCACCGGAGAAAUGUCGAAUAGACAAUGUCGACGAAAAAGUGAAUAUCUGCGCAGGUGUGGAGGAGGGCGGUAAAGAUUCUUGUCAAGGUGACAGUGGUGGACCGUUACUGUGCAAUGGUACUCAAGUAGGAAUAGUAUCAUGGGGAUUCGGAUGUGCUCGUCCUGGCUUACCUGGCGUGUACACUCGAUUGGACGUCUAUUUGGAUUGGAUCAAUCAAUCCCUACACAAU